UGAUCCUACGGGACGCAGCAGUGGGGGAUAUUGCACAAUGGGGGGAACCCUGAUGCAGCGACGCCGCGUGGGUGAAGAAGCGCCUCGGCGCGUAAAGCCCUGUCAGCAGGGAAGAAAAUGACGGUACCUGAAGAAGAAGCCCCGGCUAACUACGUGCCAGCAGCAGCGGUAAUACGUAGGGGGCAAGCGUUAUCCGGAUUUACUGGGUGUAAAGGGAGCGCAGGCGGGAAG
rnacentral:rRNA from 1 species